rnacentral:rRNA from 1 species
UACGUAGGGGGCAAGCGUUGUCCGGAAUCAUUGGGCGUAAAGAGCGUGUAGGUGGCUCGGUAAGUCCGCUGUAAAAGCCCAGGGCUCAACCCUGGAAAGCCGGUGGAAACUGUCGAGCUAGAGUCCGGAAGAGGCGAGUGGAAUUCCUGGUGUAGCGGUGAAAUGCGCAGAUAUCAGGAGGAACACCAAUGGCGAAGGCAGCUCGCUGGGACGGUACUGACACUGAGACGCGAAAGCGUGGGGAGCAAACAGG